rnacentral:lncRNA from 1 species
ACCCACAUUUGGGGAUUCCAGGAAGACUUCCUGGGGGAAGGGACAUCUAAUCUAAGCUGGUGUCUGAAAUGUGACUAGACUAGAUGUUAGCCAGAGGGAGCAAUUGAAGUUUAGGUGAAUAGUCUUGGGGAAGUUUAUAGGAAGAGGAAAGAGUAUUUGCAAAGGUCCCAAGGCAAGAGGGAGGCCAAAACAUUGAGGAUCCUGGAAGAAGUUGAG